rnacentral:rRNA from 1 species
CCUACGGGUGGCAGCAGUGGGGAAUAUUGCGCAAUGGGCGAAAGCCUGACGCAGCGACGCCGCGUGAGGGAUGAAGGUCUUCGGAUCGUUAACCUCUGUCAGCAGGGAAGAACGGUCACUGUGCUAAUCAGCAGUGAAUUGACGGUACCUGCAAGGGAAGCACCGGCUAACUCCGUGCCAGCAGCCGCGGUAAUACGGAGGGUGCGAGCGUUAAUCGGAAUUACUGGGCGUAAAGCGGUCGUAGGCGGUAUGUCAAGUCAAGGGUGAAAUCCCCGCGCUCAACGUGUGAACUGCCUUUGAAACUGGCAAACUGGAGUGUGUGAGAGGAUAGUGGAAUUCCAGGUGUAGGAGUGAAAUCCGUAGAUAUCUGGAGGAACAUCAGUGGCGAAGGCGACUAUCUGGCACAUAACUGACGCUGAGGAGCGAAAGUGUGGGUAGCAAACAGGAUUAGAUACCCGAGUAGUC